CUCAUCCAAUAAAAUGUUUUAUUACUGUUCCGCCAACGUGAAUAUUCAAACACAUACAAGUGUUUACCAAGAAGCAAAACCAGUCACAACAACACUGUAACCACAAUUAUAAAGACAUAAAGAAUUCAGUUCUGCUCAAUACUUUCAUGAGUCCGUGAUAAAGGUUUCGAAGUCCUGGUCUAAGUCUGAAACAAGGGCAUCCACAAAAUCUUCAACUGAAGGCGAUUUCUGAAGCAUACCUUCAACCAUAAGAAUGGGCUCUUUUCCACCACCAUGUGCCAGCAUCUCUCUCCG
rnacentral:lncRNA from 1 species